rnacentral:rRNA from 1 species
UACAGAGGGUGCAAGCGUUGUUCGGAAUUAUUGGGCGUAAAGCGUGCGUAGGCGGUUCGUUAUGUCUGCUGUGAAAGCCCCGGGCUUAACCUGGGAAUGGCAGUGGAAACUGGCGGGCUUGAGUGUGGCAGAGGGGGGUGGAAUUCCGCGUGUAGCAGUGAAAUGCGUAGAGAUGCGGAGGAACACCGAUGGCGAAGGCAGCCCCCUGGGCUGACACUGACGCUGAGGCACGAAAGCGUGGGGAGCAAACAGG